rnacentral:misc_RNA from 1 species
CGAGUCGUCGGUUCCAGUCAUACAGUAUUCUUUUUACAGAUUCCAAGCAUCGAUUUGAUGCUGGCUACAAGCCAAUAUAGUUUCUCUUGUAGGCCCAACUACAAGCAGCGUACACAACACGAAGUUUCGAAAGUCUAUACACAACUAAGCGGGAGCUGUGAGGUAACGCGUUUUAAAUAACAAUAACUUCGGACCUAAAGCUUCAAUGGUUAUGAGACUUGUCCGGCCAUGACGAAUCAAUUACCAGAGCACCUGUUCCGGCUUUUUUAACAUACGCUGAGGAAAAUGAUGUCCAUGGAACUGGUGCUAUACCCGAAGUGCGGUGCUCCUUUCGUCUGGUUUCGGUCACCUCAUUGUGAAAGCAGCAUUGGUUUCAACACGGUCGCUCGACUUUGACCAAUUUGUUGAAAUGCACCAACUCUGUCGGUUUCUGAAUACAA